rnacentral:lncRNA from 1 species
AUCCAGCCUGAAGGACUUAGCUCAUAGAUGUCUUCUGAAAUGUGGAAGAAAUACUUCUGUUUAUCAUAAAAGCUCAGCUGGAGAUUGGAGUCUGGAAGAGGGAGGAGAGAAGAGGAGGACCUCAGGGAGAUUGUUUUGCUUAUUGGUGUUGAAUUUUAAUUAAAAACCAAACAACUUUUCCUAUUAACUUGAUGCUACUUAUUAAUUCAAAUGAAGAGACUGACUCUGGAUAUUGGGAAAAUUUAUUUCUGGAAUCGCAAAUUGACCUCAAGAUAUAUUUGAUCAGGAUGAAUUCCAAACCUGAAAUUAGUUGUUCUCUGAGCUCAGAGUUUUAGAUUAAACAUCUCUCUCUUGAUAUAUAUAUCUAGGAGAAUGGGGGACCAAAAGCACUUGCAGAAGAGGACCAGGAAUUAACACAGAGGAAAAGAUUAAACAGGUACUGAUCACUUCUAUUUCUAAAAUAUGUGAUUAAAAAU